rnacentral:rRNA from 1 species
UACGUAGGGUGCAAGCGUUAAUCGGAGUUACUGGGCGUAAAGGGUGUGUAGGCGGUUCUCUAAGUCUGGGGUGAAAUCUCCCGGCUCAACUGGGAGGGUGCGCCGGAAACUGGAGAGCUAGAGUACUGGAUGGGAGAGUGGAAUUCCAGGUGUAGCGGUGAAAUGCGUAGAUAUCUGGAGGAACACCGGUGGCGAAGGCGGCAUCCUGGACCAACACUGACACUGAUGAGCGAAAGCCAGGGGAGCAAACGGG